CAGCAGCCACGGUAAUACGGAGGGAGCUAGCGUUGUUCGGAAUUACUGGGCGUAAAGCGCACGUAGGCGGCUUUGUAAGUUAGAGGUAAAAGCCUGGAGCUCAACUCCAGAAUUGCCUUUAAGACUGCAUCGCUUGAAUCCAGGAGAGGUGAGUGGAAUUCCGAGUGUAGAGGUGAAAUUCGUAGAUAUUCGGAAGAACACCAGUGGCGAAGGCGGCUCACUGGACUGGUAUUGACGCUGAGGUGCGAAAGCGUGGGGAGCAAACAGGAUUAGAUACCCCUGUAGUCCCUGUCUCUUAUAC
rnacentral:rRNA from 1 species